AUUGAACGCUGGCGGCAUGCCUUACACAUGCAAGUCGAACGGCAGCACGGACUUCGGUCUGGUGGCGAGUGGCGAACGGGUGAGUAAUGUAUCGGAACGUACCUUUCAGUGGGGGAUAACGUAGCGAAAGUUACGCUAAUACCGCAUAUUCUGUGAGCAGGAAAGCAGGGGAUCGCAAGACCUUGCGCUGAUUGAGCGGCCGAUAUCAGAUUAGCUAGUUGGUGGGGUAAAGGCCUACCAAGGCGACGAUCUGUAGCGGGUCUGAGAGGAUGAUCCGCCACACUGGAACUGAGACACGGUCCAGACUCCUACGGGAGGCAGCAGUGGGGAAUUUUGGACAAUGGGGGCAACCCUGAUCCAGCCAUGCCGCGCGAGUGAAGAAGGCCUUCGGGUUGUAAAGCUCUUUCGGCCGGGAAGAAAUCGCACGGGCUAAUACCCUGUGUGGAUGACGGUACCGGAAUAAGAAGCACCGGCUAACUACGUGCCAGCCGCCGCGGUAACAC
rnacentral:rRNA from 1 species